UCCACUAUCAUUUCCAUGCACUUGGCCUGAAAUGUAUUUUCUGGACUAUUGCUAGUGCAACUCGAAUAGUAUUUUCUCACACUAGUCUUCUCUCUCUCUCUCUCUCUCUCUCUCUCCUUCCCCUUCCCUUCUUUUCUCCCUUCUGCAAAAUGGAUCCUCCACACUACACCAAAGAGAACUUCCAGGAAAGCAAAUAGGUUAUAAAAUUCCUUUGUUUAACACACAAUUGGAUUUAGAUUUCAACUUCCAGCUAAGACACAGAAACACAAAUUGGAUAUAAUCUCCCUCUUGAAACAACUAGAAAUCAAGAUAAAAUACAUAAAACAACAGUUUUCAAACUGUUAGGCAUCAAGCAACUGAGGACGUCAGUCCCUGGGAGAUGGGAAAUAAAUUAGGCAAGUCUUACAAUUGCCUCAGCCUACUGCCUUCAGAAAGUUUUCAGAUUCUCAUGCCGGGAAACUGAAUCACAGGUGGAGCCCAGUGAACUCUCGGAGUUGGGAAGAUGGAGUUGAGAGCUGGGGAAGACAAAUGUGGCUGCAGUUAGAGUACCAGACAGGAAAGACCUACAUAGAGGGAAAAGUCUAGAAGUCAGUAGAAACUCUCUUGAGUAUGCAGCAGAGCACUGAUCAGCGUGUUUGUAUAACAAAAGCCACUGGGCCAGGGGAAAAACCGCGGGAGCGACUAGAGGAAAUGACACUGGGAACUCACAGUGCUAAGAAUAGUGUUUGUUUCCACUAGCCAGAAUGAAAAGCUUAUAAUUUAUGGGAUACUGGGCAGAGGACUCAAUAAGGUGCUGCCUCAGUGGUGGAGAAAACUAGCCCCAGCGAAAACUCAGAAGUAUGACCGCAGAACUUCCCUGAGCUGCUACUCUUUACACACUGCCUAUAGGGUAGCCCUGCUCUGCAGGAGCAGUCACAGAGCUAUAACACUGCUGCCUCAAUAAAGCUGUUUUCUUCUACUACCAGCUUGCUCCUGAAUUAUUUCGUGAGCAAAGCCAAGAACCUUCCCAGGCUAAGCCCCAAUGUGGAGAUUCGCCUGCCCUGUACCAUUAAUACCCCUGUGUCUGAUGUGAGGCUGACUUGGUAGGUAGAGUAAGGCUGGAGAGCACACACAGAACUGUCCUAGGUUGGGUUCUCCCAGAAGCUGAUGCUGAGAUUGGAAUGUGAGUUUAUUUUGGAGGUGAUCCCAGGAAGCACUGGUGAAUAGGAAGGGGAAUAGGAAGUGAGCCAGGGAAGGGAAGGAAUACAUCACAUGUUAAUGAGCAGGUUACUGCUGUGGGCACAUGGGGGAUGGUCCUGCUCGGGACUCUGAAAUAGCAGAAAGAUGAGAAAGAGAAAGAAUCUGACCUUGCUAGAGGCAGAAAGGAGCCAAGAGAGACAGAAGCUCCUGCUUGAGUUCAAGUAUUUGGGCUCAAUAAGCACAUUGCCCUGGACAUUUGAAUUACUGGAAUGCUACCGUUUGGGGCAGCAGAUGCAAUUCAGGAUUAGGACAGGAUGAGCCCAUUGACUAGGUUUCUGGAAAGAGUGGGAGAAAAGUUGACGCUGUUUUGUAUUCCAACUUUUCACAUCACCUUGACACAGUUAAUAAUAUUAUCGAUAAUAAUAAUAUUAACAGCUAACAUUUAUUUUAUAUAUUUCAUGUUCCAAGCACUUUUUUACAUGUUUAAGCGUACUACUUUAGUGUUUUUUAAUCUGGAGAUUGUAAGCCUUCAGUAGGUCUAAAUUAAUUUACUGGGUUGCCUGUGAAAUAGAAGAGAACACAACAGAAUAGACUAGAAUAAAUUUUGUUACAGUGGAAAAUAUCAAAGUGUCUAAUCCCUCAGAAGGACUAGUUUGGUUUGAUGAAAACUCUGUUUUAAUUACAUGUGUGGGGGUGUGUGUAUGUGCACAUGUGUGCACACUAGGUCACAGUGUAAAAUAUAUUUGCCACUGUGUAUCAAGUAUAAGUAGAGAAAGACUGAGUUUUCUCAUUUUAGUCUCAUAACGAUGCUCUAAAGUUGGCAUUGUUAUCCCCAUUUUACAGGAAAGAAAACUGAGAUUCUAAAAUGUUGAAUAACCUACACAAGUUCACACAGCAAGAAAGCGACAGGACCAGGGUUCAACUUCCUCCACAGCAGUGUUUGCUCUCCUCUAUAGCAACCACAACACAGCCAACUCUUUGCAGCAGAGAAAAUGUAAACCCUGGAACUUUCACAGAGAGCCUGUGCUGGGAAGCCUCCGGGACCAUCUGCUCCUCCAGAAGGCUUGCAACUGUUCUUUUCAU
rnacentral:lncRNA from 10 species